rnacentral:rRNA from 1 species
CUACGGGUCGCUGCAGUGAGGAAUAUUGGUCAAUGGACGCAAGUCUGAACCAGCCAUGCCGCGUGUAGGAUGACGGCCCUAUGGGUUGUAAACUGCUUUUAUACGGGAAAAAUUCCUCCGACGUGUCGGAGGUUGAUGGUACCGUAAGAAUAAGCAUCGGCUAACUCCGUGCCAGCAGCCGCGGUAAUACGGAGGAUGCAAGCGUUAUCCGGAUUUAUUGGGUUUAAAGGGUGCGCAGGCGGAUUGGUAAGUCAGUGGUGAAAUCCUACAGCUUAACUGUAGAACUGCCAUUGAUACUGCUAGUCUUGAGUAUAGUUGAAGUGGGCGGAAUAUGUCAUGUAGCGGUGAAAUGCAUAGAUAUGACAUAGAACACCGAUCGCGAAGGCAGCUCACUAAACUAAUACUGACGCUCAGGCACGAAAGCGUGGGUAGCAAACAGGAUUAGAUACCCCCGUAGUC